AUUUCAGUUACGAAACAAGAAAUUUCACUGUCCUCGAGUUUUUCCAGCGGCGCGAGUUUUUCGUUCAUCCAGGGUCGUGGAAGAAAAAAAGCAACGGGAAAGCAAGAGAGUAUGAAUGUGUCGUUUCUCCCCUCUCACGAGCGAUACAUAUACGACGUGUUGCCGAUGAUAUAUGAAAGAACACGUGUCACCAGGUACUCAGUACACCCACGCGAGUCGUUAUCGUUAAUUCGUUACAUUUUCAAGAGAUUUCUGAAUGAAAGUUUGGUGUUUCACUUGAUUUUAAUAUCGUGUUGAAUUCGAAUAAUACUAUACAUAUAUAUAUAUUCAUAUAUAUAUAGUAGUAAUAGAACAGGAGCUUUUUGGACAAGAAUGGAUCAGAAAAAUGAAGUCAAAGGAUACAAUGGGAAAAUUAAUCACGAAACGAAUUAAGGAAUAAACAAUAUUUGAUAUACGGUUUUGGUCCCAGCUUUCUCCCGCAACGCUUAACCGGCAUACUCUAUCGUCA